rnacentral:rRNA from 1 species
GAUGAACGCUUGCUACAGGCUUAACACAUGCAAGUCGAGGGGCAGCAUUUUAGUUUGCUUGCAAACUGAAGAUGGCGACCGGCGCACGGGUGAGUAACACGUAUCCAACCUGCCGAUAACUCCGGAAUAGCCUUUCGAAAGAAAGAUUAAUACCGGAUAGCAUACGAAUAUCGCAUGAUAUUUUUAUUAAAGAAUUUCGGUUAUCGAUGGGGAUGCGUUCCAUUAGUUUGUUGGCGGGGUAACGGCCCACCAAGACUACGAUGGAUAGGGGUUCUGAGAGGAAGGUCCCCCACAUUGGAACUGAGACACGGUCCAAACUCCUACGGGAGGCAGCAGUGAGGAAUAUUGGUCAAUGGGCGAGAGCCUGAACCAGCCAAGUAGCGUGAAGGAUGAAGGCUCUAUGGGUCGUAAACUUCUUUUAUAUGGGAAUAAAGUUUUCCACGUGUGGAAUUUUGUAUGUACCAUAUGAAUAAGGAUCGGCUAACUCCGUGCCAGCAGCCGCGGUAAUACGGAGGAUCCGAGCGUUAUCCGGAUUUAUUGGGUUUAAAGGGAGCGUAGGUGGAUUGUUAAGUCAGUUGUGAAAGUUUGCGGCUCAACCGUAAAAUUGCAGUUGAAACUGGCAGUCUUGAGUACAGUAGAGGUGGGCGGAAUUCGUGGUGUAGCGGUGAAAUGCUUAGAUAUCACGAAGAACUCCGAUUGCGAAGGCAGCUCACUAGACUGUCACUGACACUGAUGCUCGAAAGUGUGGGUAUCAAACAGGAUUAGAUACCCUGGUAGUCCACACAGUAAACGAUGAAUACUCGCUGUUUGCGAUAUACAGUAAGCGGCCAAGCGAAAGCAUUAAGUAUUCCACCUGGGGAGUACGCCGGCAACGGUGAAACUCAAAGGAAUUGACGGGGGCCCGCACAAGCGGAGGAACAUGUGGUUUAAUUUGAUGAUACGCGAGGAACCUUACCCGGGCUUAAAUUGCAACAGAAUAUAUUGGAAACAGUAUAGCCGUAAGGCUGUUGUGAAGGUGCUGCAUGGUUGUCGUCAGCUCGUGCCGUGAGGUGUCGGCUUAAGUGCCAUAACGAGCGCAACCCUUAUCUUUAGUUACUAACAGGUUAUGCUGAGGACUCUAGAGAGACUGCCGUCGUAAGAUGUGAGGAAGGUGGGGAUGACGUCAAAUCAGCACGGCCCUUACGUCCGGGGCUACACACGUGUUACAAUGGGGGGUACAGAAGGCGGCUACCUGGUGACAGGAUGCUAAUCCCAAAAACCUCUCUCAGUUCGGAUCGAAGUCUGCAACCCGACUUCGUGAAGCUGGAUUCGCUAGUAAUCGCGCAUCAGCCAUGGCGCGGUGAAUACGUUCCCGGGCCUUGUACACACCGCCCGUCAAGCCAUGAAAGCCGGGGGUACCUGAAGUACGUAACCGCAAGGAGCGUCCUAGGGUAAAACUGGUAAUUGGGGCUAAGUAG